rnacentral:rRNA from 1 species
CAGCAGCCGCGGGAAUACGUAGGUGGCAAGCGUUGUCCGGAAUUAUUGGGCGUAAAGGGCUCGCAGGCGGUUUCUUAAGUCUGAUGUGAAAGCCCCCGGCUCAACCGGGGAGGGUCAUUGGAAACUGGGAAACUUGAGUGCAGAAGAGGAGAGUGGAAUUCCACGUGUAGCGGUGAAAUGCGUAGAGAUGUGGAGGAACACCAGUGGCGAAGGCGACUCUCUGGUCUGUAACUGACGCUGAGGAGCGAAAGCGUGGGGAGCGAACAGGAUUAGAUACCCCAGUAGUCCCUGUCUCUUAUAU